GGCACCGGAAACGGAAACUAUUCUGCCGGGAUUCUAAUCUGCCUUGCCUGCCUGUGCUUCCCGAUUCUUUAUUUUAAAAAAAAAAGCAUGAAAUCAUCCUGGGACGUUCUAAAGUCCAGCAAGGCGGACAGAAGAAAAGAAGACUUUCUUACCCGCCAGCGCCCUUCUGCAAGACCACUAAUCCCAGAAGUCACUGCGGCGCCCUAGGGACUAUGGGAUUUGUAAUAAAGACACCAGACGAAGCGCCCUCUAACUGCAGCGGGAAUGGACUCCCGUGUUUGAGGUUGUGCUUUGCAAUACACACAGUCCUCAGGGUCUCUCUACAGAGCUGACUGUCCUGAAAGCAUUAUGUAGACCAGGUUGGCUAUGAACUAACAGGAUCUCCCUGGCUCCACCUUCCAAGUGCUGGGAUUAAAGGCGUGGACCACCAUACCCAGCUUCAACAGGACUUCUAGCAUAAGGAGUCAGUGGCAAGGAAUCCAGCUCAAAGCCCUAAUGUUUUCUACUUAUUAUUCGUCUUUAGUUCCUUCUACUUUGAGUAUCAGAAAAACAUGUAGUCUAGACAUCAGAAGAUCAAAGAACUAAGGAAAACAAAAAUAAAGAAACACUGAUGACAGAGUACGGUG
ensembl:antisense Gm15938 predicted gene 15938